UACAGAGGGGGCAAGCGUUGUUCGGAAUUACUGGGCGUAAAGGGCGCGUAGGCGGCCUGCUAAGUCGAACGUGAAAUCCCUGGGCUCAACCCAGGAACUGCGUCCGAUACUGGUUGGCUUGAAUCCGGGAGAGGGAUGUGGAAUUCCAGGUGUAGCGGUGAAAUGCGUAGAGAUCCGGAGGAACCCCAGAGGCGAAGGCGGCGCCCUGGCCCGACACUGACGCUCAGACACGACAGCAUGGGGAGCGAACGGGGAUAGAU
rnacentral:rRNA from 1 species